ensembl:lincRNA
GUUUACUCAAACUCAGGUCAAUUGAGUCGAUGAUUCUAUCCAAACACCUCAUCCUCUGUUGUCCCCUUCUCCUCCCGCCCUCAGUCUUUCCCAGCAUCAGGGUCUUUUCCAAUGAGUCAGUUUUUUGCAUCAGGUGGCCAAAGUAUUAGAGUUACAGCUUCAGCAUCAGUCUUCCCAGUGAAUAUUCAGGACUGAUUUCCUUUAGGAUGGACUGGUUGGAUCUCCUUGCAAGUCCAAGGGACUCUCAAGAGUCUUCUCCAACACCACAGUUCAAAAGCAUCUAUUCUUCGGUGCUCAGCUUUCUUUAUUGUCCAACUCUCACAUCCAUACAUGACUACUGGAAAAACCCUACCUUAGUGGUACUGAAAUAUUGUUCUUUCAUUUCAUGCCUAGGAAAGAGUGUCCCCCACAUCUCUCCUUUUGGAUGUGCCAGAGAAGCCUGCAACCCCACUGCUUCUAACAGCCUUCUUGUGACUAAGACAGAAGUAUACCACCAUGCCAAUGUCUUUGGAUCCUUGACUUCUUCAGGAAAUCAUUUUGCCUGGAAUCAUUAUCCUUCUCAAUAUAAUUUAGUUGCAUGUUUGUUUUGCGCAAACCACAAUGUCAGUUCUAUCCUGAAGUUUUCAGUUUUUGCUGUCACCAUCCUUAGGAAGCUCACGUUACAGCUAGCCCGUCAAGCUGCCCUGCGAUCGUAAGCUACAGCACAGCAUAGGACAGAACGUUUGAGACUGGAAACUUGCUUCCUGGGAUGGCGUGGCCGCGUAUUUCCUAUUUAUUCCUGAAGAAGCUUAACUCUGAAGUUGCUCAGCAUUAACAAACAAGAGGAGCUACCAAAUGGUCUCUAACAGGUCCUCCAAAUCGACAGCUGAGUAAUGUCAGGUGACCUUUUUAUCAGUGGGCUUCUUAUGAUCAUGAGAGUAAAGUGACCUUCCCUUUAGGCCCUGGUGUUGGGUUAUUUCUUUGUAUCUGAUUUUGAUUUUGCCUCAUUCUAUAGGGAUUGUUUCUGGUCUGUACAACAUUCUUCAAUGGACACAUUCAUAAAGGCCGUUUUCCAGUUGAGUCUAGAGACACUUACUUCCAGGCACGAUACUUGUGGCGCUCGAUCAUAAAGUUCCAACAUAUCAUAUUACUCAGAAUGGUCCAUUCAUAAAUAGGCUGGGUUCAAAACACAGACCCUUGUUUUUUUUAAAAAUAAGCUAAGCCUCUCCGAGGUAUCAGGCUGCUCUCAAGUGUUUGUCCAUUGACUCUAUUUUUUUCUCCUAGAGAAUGGACUUACUUUCCUUGUCUCUGCUUUGAAUAGGAAAACAACAAUAACAAGUUGAUGAGAAUGCUUUGUUUGUAAAGGGAAGGUGGGGGCAGAGAGAAGGCAAAGGAUGUGUGUGGGUGUGUUUGUGUGCACAUGGGAACUCCAGGGAGGAAUAGCAUUUGUGAGAUGUUUUCCUGGAGGAACAGUUUCGAAUUUGUUUUGGUGUAAAUUGAGCCAGAAGUUUGAAAAUAAGAAGGAACUUCAUAAACAUUUGCUCUCUGUAUCACCACCUUGUUAAAUCAAUGCAGCAUUUGAACCAGUUUUGUUUUUCUAAUUCCAUUGUACACUUGGGAAAGCAGAAGGUGUUUUGCAGAAUCUGGCAUUAUGCAGAAUCUGGCGUUUGGUUAUUUGGAGAAGGCUGCUUUACUGACUAGGUCACAGUAAACGACUACAGACUCUAAGAAUAUGUUGACAGUGUCAGUAGUGAAAUCUUUGCCACACACAUUGUGAAAAAUUGAAGGAGGGUGGAAAAUAACUUAUUUUGCUAACAAUCUAUUUCCCAUCUGUAGUUUGUGUCUGCUGAAGCUGGAAGUCCUUGCCUCCCCUCCUCAAAGUCUGUCUCUUUUCUUUGACAGACGUGCUUCCUUGAAAUUUUCAGUUCAGAUGACUGUUAUUAACAGCAACCUUUAGAGUACAUUGGGGAUUAAUUUAAUUUUUUGAUAUGUAUUUUUACUAUGGUUUCAAGAUGCUGGAAUGUAGAUAUAGUUCUUGUUAAAAAAAAAAAAAAGUUUAGACAGGUUGAUUCAUUUAACUACCCAGCAGGAUAUGAUUACUUUUUCUAAAGUUAAAUUCCAAAGAAGAAAAUCUAACAACUUCAUCCACAUACAUAAGCACACACUAUAUAAAUAAAUGUGUAUAUUUGCAUAUAUAUACACACACACACACACACACGCAAUGUGGUAGUGAUGUCUCAACCAGGCAAGAAAUGUUUUCUUAAGUGGAAAUUGAUUGGGUUUUAAUUAAUAUAUAAAAGCAUGUCUUACUUUGGUUUGUUUUUCCUUUGGAUCAACUAUGAUGUAUUAAAUAAAUGUUUGUUUUGUUUGUUUCGAUAAGC